UACGGGGGGAGCAAGCGUUGUUCGGAUUUACUGGGCGUAAAGAGCUCGUAGGUGGUUUGUCGCGUUGUUCGUGAAAACUCACAGCUUAACUGUGGGCGUGCGGGCGAUACGGGCAGACUGGAGUACUGCAGGGGAGACUGGAAUUCCUGGUGUAGCGGUGAAAUGCGCAGAUAUCAGGAGGAACACCGGUGGCGAAGGCGGGUCUCUGGGCCGAUACUGACGCUGAGGAGCGAAAGCGUGGGGAGCGAACAGG
rnacentral:rRNA from 1 species